rnacentral:lncRNA from 1 species
CUGGCUUAUUCUUGGGCUCACUGUCCCCUGAGGGAUGGGUUUCUAAGAGGAGCUACCCAGACCUGGCAGAAGAUGCAACAAUCCUCAUUCACAAAGGGCCUGGGGUUUGUGUGAUAAGUCCCCAAAGGCAGCUCUACUAAGUGCAGUGCUGCCCAGGAGAGGCCCACGUAAGGGAAGCAGGGCCUGGAAAGAAAUAUGUCCAGCCCGAGGAUUCAGCGUGCUAGCAACCACAGGCGAGUUCCCGUGGAAUUGCGACACCUGCUUGAAACCCAGGGACCUCAAUUCCCGUUAGAGAAGGGAGACACAGAUCUGGGAAACAAAUAGCCUCCUCUGGAAACCCAUGUGCUUCCCCAAGCUGCUCACACCUUCUCCCCUGAUAGCUCGAUGCUGUGCAGGAGAUGUGACUGCCUGUCCCCCGCCGUUCCCGGAUAGCUCUGCAUGUGCCUCCUUCCCACGCUUCACGGGGCCCAGCACUGGAAGUCUCCAUGCAGAAAACUCAGCAGUUUCCCACGAGACACUCUGCACCUGGGUGAGGGUCUGCACAGGCGACCAUCCAGUUCUUCUCUGGGCUCCUCGAAGAUCAGCGCUGGAUGUUAAUGUGGUCCUUCUCCCUGGGAUGCCAUGCCCCUGAUGUGGUUUCAGCCUGUGUGUUGGUGAGCUGAAGCGUACCCGCCUUACAGCUUCUCCUCGGCAAGAGGACCACGUGAGUCCUUCUCCAAACAGUGGGGUGUUUGCACCCAUCUUCUGUCACGGCUCCGCUCCUUUCUCCACAGACAGAGGCAAAGUUUCAUGCAAGGUCGGGAGCUCCUCGCUCUUAUUCCGAGUACCGGCUUUGUAGGGAAAGGGGUGCGUUGCGGGCCAUAUUUGCCACACUUUAGCCACUCAGCUUCCACUCCCUGGUCCUAAUGACAUUGAUUUCCUUCUGGUGAAUUACCUCCAUGCCAC